rnacentral:lncRNA from 1 species
ACAUACAUACAUACAUACAUACAUACAUACAUACAUACAUACAUGCAUACAUACAUACAUACAUACAUGCAUACAUACAUACAUACAUACAUACAUACAUACAUACAUACAUACAUACAUACAUACAUACAUACAUAUGUAAGUUCAUGUAGAUUGCUCUGCGGGUGGUUAGUCUCCUGCUCUGCUGCCGAUCUGAAGUCACAAAUAUUUCGUUACAUUCCAGCUCUGAUUUACUCUCCCCCAACGCGUCGACCGGCACUGGUGCACCCAGGGAAUAUCCGGCUUCUGUCGCCCACAUUAUUAUGAUGUCUUAUACUCUUCUAAUCUUGUCCAUUAACCUACAUCAACCCCCCACCGCAACACAGCAGUGGAAGUUGUAAUCACAUCUGCGCAGUGAGGUACAAAAUGGCUGUAUGUAGCACUUCCUGUAGAGCUGUGAUGCCAUCCAUCAGUCUGGAGCUAAAUGGGCAAUAUCUCGAUUUGCUGACAUUGGUCACAGGAAAGAUUUGUGGAAUAGUAAUUCUCGGAGAUGUGGAGGCGCAAUGGCCCAGUGGUUAGGGCAGCGGACUCGCGGUCGUAGGAUCGCGGUUUCGAUUCCCAGACCGGGCGUUGUGAAUGUUUAUUGAGCGAAAACACCUAAAAGCUCCACGAGGCUCCGGCAGGGAUGGUGGUGAUCCCUGCUGUACUCUUUCACCACAACUUUCUCUCACUCUUACUUCCUGUUUCUGUUGUACCUGUAUUUCAAAGGGCCGGCCUUGUCACUCUCUGUGUCACGCUGAAUAUCCCCGAGAACUACGUUAAGGGUACGCGUGUCUGUGGAGUGCUCAGCCACUUACACGUUAAUUUCACGAGCAGGCUGUUCCGUUGAUCGGAUCAACCGGAACCCUCGUCGUCGUAAUCGACGGAGUGCUUCCAUCCACCAUUUGGGAGAUGCAAUUGGAUCUAAAGGGCAGACUCGUCUUCCUAGAGACGGUGGUGGUUACACCACACUGACCAGACAGGUUCCUGCCCUUCAGGUGUACAAAAACAUUGUUGCUGAAUUUAUAGUGUGCCGGGUGGGUGGGUGGGUGGGAUUACAGACUCGACAUUUCUUACUAAUUAAAAAAAACUAAACGUCAGGUCUCUAUCGAUGUGACUCUUGGUAAACCAUGCGACCUGAUUCCCGAUUGAAUUCGGCUGCUGUGGAUUUCCGACUAGAUCUGUGUGGUAUUUCCAGCAGAAGAUUGGUAUGGAAGCGAAACAAUUGAAGGAAUCCUCCCAAGGAGAUAAGCAUGGCAGCUGAAAGCAGCUCAAAAUGACUGUGAUUAGAAAGUCUGCAGGUGGAACCCGUCUGCCGGCAAAGACUAAUUCUGCUCUCGCUGUCCCACUCAGAUGAAGCGUACAGGCUAAGGAGCGAAACAACAAUGACCCUGAGGUACUGGCCGAUGAUGAUACAGAAGGAUUGCUGACGUUGUGAGGGAUUCAGGUAAAAGACCAUGCUAUUCUUCUGUGUAGCUCUUUGAGUUUCCGCUUGGGGCAAAGUAUCUCCGAGGUUUCAUUUCACCUAAAAGUGCAAAACAGAGAACAAGAAACACCGUCAUGGCUAUUGGCAAAAAAACUGUAAGAGGAAGGACCGAAGCUAGACGUAAAUAACAAAUCCAUUGUUGUAUAGUUUUAACCAAAGAAAUUUAUGAUCAAAAACGUUUCCACCAUACCCAUCCUGUUUCUUUGAUAUUUUAAUCAACAUUCUCUAACGUAGUGUCGACAAACUUUUUCAAAAAAAUAUUUCUCUAAGGUGCAGCAGUGGAUGUGUGGUAAGUAGCUUGCUUACCAACCACAUGGUCUUCUACUAUAGCCUCGAGCCGACCAAAGCCUUGUGAGUGGAUCUGGUAGACGGAAACUGAAAGAAGCCCGUCGUAAAUAUAUGUAUAUGUAUAUGUAUAUGUAUAUGUAUAUGUAUAUGUGUAUAUGUAUAUAUGUAUAUAUAUAUAUAUAUAUAUAUAUAUAUAUAUAUAUAUAUAUAUUAGUGUGUGUGUGUGUGUGUAUGUGUUUGUCCCAGCAACAUCGCUUGACAACCGAUGCUGGUGUAUUUACGUCCCCGUAACUUAGCGGUUCGGCAAGAGAGACCGAUAGAAUAAGUACUAGGCUUACAAAGAAUAAGUUCUGGGGUCGAUUUGCUUGACUAAGGGCAAAAUAACCCACUUCCUGAUGGUACGUAACACUAGAGUUUGUAAUAAAUGUGUUUAUUCAUUCAUUCAUUUAUUAAUUCCAUGCUGGGAUUCGUGACCACCGCUCGAUCUUUCCAUGCUAUGAAAGACGGCGGACAUAAGCCCCGAGUCGUAAACGACAAUCUCUAUUCAAAUAACUGUUGACUAUGUGUAUAUAUAUAUAUGUGUGUUGAUGUAUGUAUGUGGCUGUGGCUGUGUGGUAAGUAGCUUGCUAACCAACCUCAUGGCUCCGGGUUCAGUCCCACUGCGUGGCAUCUUGGGCAAGUGUCUUCUGCUAUAGGCCCGGGCCGACCAAUGCCUUGUGAGUGGAUUUGGUAGACGGAAACUGAAAGAAGCCUGUCGUAUAUAUGUAUAUAUAUGUGUGUGUGUGUAUGUGCGUUUGUGUGUGUGUGUUUGUCCCCCUAGCAUUGCUUGACAACCGAUGCUGGUGUGUUUACGUCCCUGUCACUUAGCGGUUCGGCAAAAGAGACCGAUAGAAUAAGUACUGGGCUUACAAAGAAUAAGUCCUGGGGUCGAUUUGUUCGACUAAAGGCGGUGCUCCAGCAUGGCCGCAGUCAAAUGACUGAAACAAGUAAAAGAGUAAAAGAGUAUGUAUGUACCUAAAAUAGCAGCAGAUGGGGUAAUAGCAGUUCCAAUCGUUGUACUAGUACCAGUAGUGGUAGCUGCUAGAAAGUAUGAAUUAGCGUCUACCGUCUGUCGGAACUCCCAUUGGCGGUCGGUGCAAUCACGUGAGACCGAGAAACAAGGUCACGGUUAAGGACAGAACGAAAAAAACAAAAAAAAAAACUGAUGUUGAAGGCGCGGAAAGAGUGCUUGUGUGUGUGCUUGUGUGUGUGAGUUUCUUUAAAUGUGGAUGUAUCUGUGUGUGUUUCUAUAUAUAUAUAUGUAUACCUGAGUUUCUAUGACUGCGUGCAUAUGUAAAUGUGUGUGCGUGCGUGUGUGUGUGUGUGUGUGUGUGUGUGUGUGUGGGUUGCUAAUCUCAUAAUCCCAAUUAAAGAUUAAGUUAUACAAAGCAAAAUCGUGUUAUUUAUAAUCGUACUCCUACACUGUGUCAUACGCAUUAUAAACCUAUAUAUAUAUAAUUUUAUAACACACACACGCACGCAUACACACACACACACGCAUACACACACACACACACACACACACACACACACACACACACACACACAUACACACACACACAUAUGGGAAUAUUCUUUAUGUUGUAUGUCUCGUUUCUCUGUUUUUCUUUUCGUUGUUCGGAAAAAAGUUCGUUUCUAUGUUUUUGCUUUCAUGUUUUCGUUUCUCAUUGUGUUCAACGUUUUUUGAUGUCCUGUACCCAUAUAUGCAUGUAUAUAUACAUGUAGAUGUAGGUACGUAUAUAUGCAUAUAUUUAUAUAUUAUUUAUAUUAUAUAUAUAUAUAUAUAUAUAUAUACAACAUAAAUAUAUCUAUCUAGAAUCUUCUGUAAUAAUAAAUGUGAAAGCGGAUGUCAGUGUGUCACAGUUUUUCAACUUUACUUCUCCCACCCCUCUCUCACUAUUCAAUGACACUUCUACAAUUCUUCAUUCAUGAUUUUUUUUCUUAAUCCUAACUUUUUCAAAAAAAUAUUUCUCUAAGGUGCAGGGGUGGCUGUGUGGUAAGUAGCUUGCUUACCAACCACAUGGUCUUCUACUAUAGCCUCGAGCCGACCAAAGCCUUGUGAGUGGAUCUGGUAGACAGAAACUGAAAGAAGCCCGUCGUAUAUAUGUAUAUGUAUAUAUAUAUAUAUAUAUAUAUAUAUAUAUAUAGUGUGUGUAUGUUUGUGUGUAUGUGUUUGUCCCCUACCAUCGCUGGACAACCGAUGCUGGUCUGUUUACGUCCCCGUAACUUAGCGGUUCGGCAAAAGAGACCGAUAGAAUAAGUACUGGGCUUACAAAGAAUAAGUCCCGGGAUCGAUUUGCUUGACUAAGGGCGGUGCUUCAGCAUGGCCGCAUUCAAAUGACUGAAAUAAGUAAAAGAGUAAAGAGCAAAUAUUAUAACUAUUUCCAAAAGUAAUUUCCAAAAUCUUUCUCUAAAUAUUAUAACUGUGUCGAGUAAUUCAACCAUAACACGUUCUUCAUAACUUUCGGAAUUGAAAGACAUAUUGAACUUAGUCUCUCAUACAUUAUUAUUUCUCAUAUGGAGGCGCAAUGGCCCAGUGGUUAGGGCAGUGGACUCGCGGUCAUAGGAUCGCGGUUUCGAUUCUCAGACCGGGCGUUGUGAGUGUUUAUUGAGCGAAAACACCUAAAAGCUCCACGAGGCUCCGGCAGGGGAUGGUGGUGAUCCCUGCUGUACUCUUUCACCACAACUUUCUCUCACUCUUACUUCCUGUUUCUGUAUUUCAAGGGGCCGGCCUUGUCACUCUCUGUGUCACGCUGAAUAUCCCCGAGAACUACGUUAAGGGUACACGUGUCUGUGGAGUGCUCAGCCACUUACACGUUAAUUUCACGAGCAGGCUGUUCCGUUGAUUCAGAUCAACCGGAACCCUCAUCGUCGUAACCGACGGAGUGCUUCUUUUUUAAAAUUAUUUCUCAUAACUCUCUACCAUAAAAAUAUUGGAAACUUAGUGUUUUUUCAGAUAUUAAUAAAAUGUGUCGGACCCAUUUUCAUGCCGUCGGCCGUCGAAGCUAUGGAAACUUAGCGCACCCUGACUGCAUGGAAAUAGAUUCAACUAAUUUUAUUAUUACCUUAAAAAAAUACUAAAAAAUACUAAAUUUAAAACAUCUUUAUGGUCAAAUACGUUUGGAGCCAUUCCAAACUAUAAAAAUAACACUUUAAAAUAGUGUUUAGC